UUGGGAGCUCUCCCAUAUGGUCGACCUGCAGGCGGCCGCGAAUUCACUAGUGAUUCGUAUUACCGCGGCUGCUGGCACAGAGUUAGCCGGUGCUUAUUCUGCGAGUAACGUCCACUAUCCCAGAGUAUUAAUCCAAGUAGCCUCCUCCUCGCUUAAAGUGCUUUACAACCAAAAGGCCUUCUUCACACACGCGGCAUGGCUGGAUCAGGCUUUCGCCCAUUGUCCAAUAUUCCCCACUGCUGCCUCCCGUAGGAGUCUGGGCCGUGUCUCAGUCCCAGUGUGGCGGAUCAUCCUCUCAGACCCGCUACAGAUCGUCGCCUUGGUAGGCCUUUACCCCACCAACUAGCUAAUCUGACUUAGGCUCAUCUAUUAGCGCAAGGUCCGAAGAUCCCCUGCUUUCCCCCGUAGGGCGUAUGCGGUAUUAGCACUCCUUUCGGAAUGUUGUCCCCCACUAAUAGGCAGAUUCCUAAGCAUUACUCACCCGUCCGCCGCUAGGUAAUGUAGCAAGCUACAUCACCCCGCUCGACUUGCAUGUGUUAAGCCUGCCGCCAGCGUUCAAUCUGAGCCAUGAUCAAACUCUAAUCGAAUUCCCGCGGCCGCCAUGGCGCCCGGGAGCAUGCGAC
rnacentral:rRNA from 1 species